rnacentral:rRNA from 1 species
AUCUUAGCGGCGGACGGGUGAGUAAUGCUUAGGAAUCUGCCAUUUAGUGGGGGACAACAUUCCGAAAGGAAUGCUAAUACCGCAUACGUCCUACGGGAGAAAGCAGGGGAUCUUCGGACCUUGCGCUAAAUGAUGAGCCUAAGUCGGAUUAGCUAGUUGGUGGGGUAAAGGCCUACCAAGGCGACGAUCUGUAGCGGGUCUGAGAGGAUGAUCCGCCACACUGGGACUGAGACACGGCCCAGACUCCUACGGGAGGCAGCAGUGGGGAAUAUUGGACAAUGGGCGGAAGCCUGAUCCAGCCAUGCCGCGUGUGUGAAGAAGGCCUUUUGGUUGUAAAGCACUUUAAGCGAGGAGGAGGCUACUCUGAUUAAUACUCAGGGAUAGUGGACGUUACUCGCAGAAUAAGCACCGGCUAACUCUGUGCCAGCAGCCGCGGUAAUACAGAGGGUGCGAGCGUUAAUCGGAUUUACUGGGCGUAAAGCGUGCGUAGGCGGCUUUUUAAGUCGGAUGUGAAAUCCCCGAGCUUAACUUGGGAAUUGCAUUCGAUACUGGGAAGCUAGAGUAUGGGAGAGGAUGGUAGAAUUCCAGGUGUAGCGGUGAAAUGCGUAGAGAUCUGGAGGAAUACCGAUGGCGAAGGCAGCCAUCUGGCCUAAUACUGACGCUGAGGUACGAAAGCAUGGGGAGCAAACAGGAUUAGAUACCCUGGUAGUCCAUGCCGUAAACGAUGUCUACUAGCCGUUGGGGCCUUUGAGGCUUUAGUGGCGCAGCUAACGCGAUAAGUAGACCGCCUGGGGAGUACGGUCGCAAGACUAAAACUCAAAUGAAUUGACG